CGUGAUCCGGGUUGCGGACAGUGUCUGGUGGGUAGUUUGACUGGGGCGGUCUCCUCCUAAAGAGUAACGGAGGAGCACGAAGGUUGGCUAAUCCUGGUCGGACAUCAGGAGGUUAGUGCAAUGGCAUAAGCCAGCUUGACUGCGAGCGUGACGGCGCGAGCAGGUGCGAAAGCAGGUCAUAGUGAUCCGGUGGUUCUGAAUGGAAGGGCCAUCGCUCAACGGAUAAAAGGUACUCCGGGGAUAACAGGCUGAUACCGCCCAAGAGUUCAUAUCGACGGCGGUGUUUGGCACCUCGAUGUCGGCUCAUCACAUCCUGGGGCUGAAGUAGGUCCCAAGGGUAUGGCUGUUCGCCAUUUAAAGUGGUACGCGAGCUGGGUUUAGAACGUCGUGAGACAGUUCGGUCCCUAUCUGCCGUGGGCGCUGGAGAACUGAGGGGGGCUGCUCCUAGUACGAGAGGACCGGAGUGGACGCAUCACUGGUGUUCGGGUUGUCAUGCCAAUGGCACUGCCCGGUAGCUAAAUGCGGAAGAGA
rnacentral:rRNA from 1 species